rnacentral:rRNA from 1 species
GACGAACGCUGGCGGCGUGCUUAACACAUGCAAGUCGAACGGAAAGGCCCUGCUUUUGUGGGGUGCUCGAGUGGCGAACGGGUGAGUAACACGUGAGUAACCUGCCCUUGACUUUGGGAUAACUUCAGGAAACUGGGGCUAAUACCGGAUAGGAGCUCCUGCUGCAUGGUGGGGGUUGGAAAGUUUCGGCGGUUGGGGAUGGACUCGCGGCUUAUCAGCUUGUUGGUGGGGUAGUGGCUUACCAAGGCUUUGACGGGUAGCCGGCCUGAGAGGGUGACCGGCCACAUUGGGACUGCGGUACGGACCAGACUCCUACGGGAGGCAGCAGUGGGGAGUAUUGCACAAUGGGCGGAAGCCUGAUGCAGCAACGCCGCGUGCGGGAUGACGGCCUUCGGGUUGUAAACCGCUUUCGCCUGUGACGAAGCGUGAGUGACGGUAAUGGGUAAAGAAGCACCGGCUAACUACGUG